UACGUAUGUCGCAAGCGUUAUCCGGAUUUAUUGGGCGUAAAGCGCGUCUAGGCGGAAAAAUAAGUCUGAUGUUAAAAUGCGGGGCUCAACUCCGUAUUGCGUUGGAAACUGUUUUUCUAGAGUACUGGAGAGGUGGGCGGAACUACAAGUGUAGAGGUGAAAUUCGUAGAUAUUUGUAGGAAUGCCGAUGGAGAAGUCAGCUCACUGGACAGAUACUGACGCUGAAGCGCGAAAGCGUGGGGAGCAAACAGGAUUAGAAACCCUUGUAGUCCUGACAUAGAAACCCCUG
rnacentral:rRNA from 1 species